rnacentral:rRNA from 1 species
CAAUAGCGUAUAUUAAAGUUGUUGCAGUUAAAAAGCUCGUAGUUGAAUUUUUGCUUGCCGCCGAUGUCGGAACUUCCGUACGUUCGGCGGCGUGCAUCCUUGGGUGGAACCUGUGUGGCAUUAGGUUGUCGUGCAGGGGAUGCUCAUCGUUUACUGUGAAAAAAUUAGAGUGUUCAAAGCAGGCUUACGCCGUUGAAUAUAUUAGCAUGGAAUAAUAAGAUAGGACCUUGGUACUAUUUUGUUGGUUUGCGCACCGAGGUAAUGACUAACAGGGACAGUUGGGGGUAUUCGUAUUCCAUUGUCAGAGGUGAAAUUCUUGGAUUUCUGGAAGACGAACUACUGCGAAAGCAUUUACCAAGGAUGUUUUCAUUAA